UGUUUACACUUGUCAGAGGGGUACACAGUCCGCAGUUAGGUGGCUGACUUUGUGUGCUGGCGAUUAGGUGCCGGUCUCUGAGGGUGUAGGUUUGAAUCUCGGAUGCGACUCAACCCA